GCAAAUACAUUCCAAGACAGUAGAUCCAUCAGCAAAUCUACAACACUGACAGUGAUAAUACUUCAUGACAUUGUUCUAUGAUGCAUCAAGAAAUAAUUGUAAUUACAGAUCCAUCAACAGAGUGGAAUUUCACGGAUUAAAAUGCACUGAAUAAUCACCGAAAUUUCAGAUAAGACCAGGACAGUUCACCCCAAAUUCUGAAGGUGAAAAUUGCAAAUCACAGUCAUGGAAACCCCGCUAAUUUCCUAGAUUUGUCCUCGUCGAAAAAAAACAGAUUUGAACACCACAAAUCUGACCUCGUACAAAAAAAAUCGAGGAAACUUUUCAGAGAGAAAAAUGAGGAAAGAAAACGAUUUGGAGAAGAGCUCGCCGGAUCGGUGCUUGUCUGGUCGCCAUCCUUCAUCCCCUAAGUCUCAGCCCGAGCCAGAUCUGCAGUGAUAGGCCAUCGGCCUCAUGCUUCCGAGUACCUGGAUUCAUCGGGCCGUUUGUGGGGUGGCCUGGUGGUCGGAUCCGUCGGUGGCUGGGGGCGAUGUGGCAGCGGAGCUUCGUCCUGAGCACCGGUGACGGGUGGGUGGUGUUGGAGGCGGUGACGGAUCGGGAUUAAGUAUGAACAAGCAGAUUUAUCAAGCCAAAAAACCUGGAUCGAAAAAUUGAUUUGAAUAAAGGGAGACAAGUAGAUUUACUAACCCAGUGGUGCUCGCACUUGUAGAAGUGUUUCCCGGGGUUCUUUGGUGUCUAGGAAAUCCACCACUCGACAUCGCCGUUGUUGCACCACGGGCAUCGGAUGAGAGGGAGAGGAGCCUGCUCUUGGAGGAAGGGGGCGAGUGAAUGCGAGGUCGAGGAUGAGGCACACAUCUCGCCGGUACAGAGAGGUCGCAGUGUUUAGAUAUGAGAGGAGAACAAUGGGGAACGGAUAGAGGAUGAGGAAGAAGAACAGUGAUCGGGCGGCAUAGAUAUCAGCCAGCCCGUCUACUUCAAUGCGCGUCGGGUGGACCGUGAGCUGAA
rnacentral:lncRNA from 1 species